UCAAGAUCCUGAAUGGACUACAUUGUGAUGUCACACCACAGGUCGGGGGUGAGCACAAAAAGGGCUGCAGUGGCUGCUGGCAUCAGGGCACAGGGCAGGGCAGGAGCAAGAGCCUCAGGCCUCUCCAGAAGAAAUCAGCCUGUCUGGGUGCUGUUCUCAGCUGGGGUUGCUGGGAAAGAGUGAGGGAUGUCUGCUGUACAGAAAACAUCAGCCUGGAAGACUGCUUAUGAAUCCACCUGCUGCCACUUGCUGCCACGGUUCCUAUUCUCACCUGGCCUGCGUCAAUUCAGUUAAACCAAGUCCAUCCUUCAUGCAGUUUUCCUGCACAAAGUGACUUCCGUUGGAAUGCGAUGGCGUGAUCUCGGCUCACUGCAACCUCCGCCUCCCGGGUUCAAGCAAUUCUCCUGCCUCAACCUCCAAAGUAACUGGGAUUUACAGGCACCCACCACCACUCCCAGCUAAUUUUUUUGUAUUUUUAGUAGAGAUGGGGUUUCACUUUUUUGGCCAGGCUGGUCUCAAACUCCUGACCUCAGAUGAUCCGCCCAUCCUGGCCUCCCAAAGUGCUGGGAUUAUAGGCAUGACCCACCGUACCCGGCCGGGUACCACACACUUUUAAACAGCCAGCUCUCACAAGAACUCACUAUCAUGAGUACAGCACCAAGACAUUCAUGAGGGAUCUGCCCCCAGGACACAAACACCGCCCACCAGGCCCCACUUCCAACAUUGCAAUCACUUUUCAACGUGAGAUUUGGAGGGGACGAAUAUUCAAACCAUAUCAGUGCCCACAGUGGCAACUGGCUUGCUAACAUACCCCACAUUGUUGCCCCCAUCCCCUGCCUCACUUCCCCGCUCCCCUACCUAUGUUUCCUGGGAUCAAACUGCAAAUAAACUGCUUCCACUCAAAUCCUUGUUUCAGGGUCUGCUUCAGGGGGAACCCAAACUAAGACUUUGUAAAUAAGAAAUGAUGUCUGUUCUUUGUAAGUUCACAUUUAGAUGGAGAAACUAUAUAAAUUGGCUUGGUAUAAUUCAGAAUGUCUGGGAACCGGUGAGUGUCAGGUCUCAGGGCAGAUGGAGGUGUUCUGCUGGUUGGCCUUUGGAGUAUCAUUAGGAAUGUCUUGAGGAAACACAUGAGCUGAUAUGCUCAGGGGGAGGCCUGGCAACCUGGCCCAAAGGCCUUUUCCUCUGCACAGGGAGGCCUGAAUGUGCUACCCCCAGGGGACUGAUUUGCUACACAAAUUCCACCUGCUUUCCAUCUCCCUGGACAAUUCCUCCUGGAAUAAGAAUAUGGAGGUGGAGCUAGCACCAUAUAAAAUAUGGCUCUUGUUCAUGCUUUUGGGGGAGUUUCAGGUGUUUAGAGAAGGCUCGCUAGGG
rnacentral:lncRNA from 1 species